rnacentral:rRNA from 1 species
UACGAAGGGGGCUAGCGUUGCUCGGAUUGACUGGGCGUAAAGGGCGCGUAGGCGGUUCGUACAGUCAGACGUGAAAUUCCUGGGCUCAACCUGGGGGCUGCGUUUGAUACGUGCGGACUUGAGUGCGGAAGAGGGUCGUGGAAUUCCCAGUGUAGAGGUGAAAUUCGUAGAUAUUGGGAAGAACACCGGUGGCGAAGGCGGCGACCUGGUCCGAUACUGACGCUGAGGCGCGAAAGCGUGGGGAGCAAACAGGAUAGAU